UACAAGAAAAUGUGUUUUAAUAGCGGACGGAUAACGCUAUAUAACGAUACUAUAGCAGUUUUUGAAACGUUGUAUCAUCGUCUCUCAUAAUAGGUCAGACACAUUAGAUAACGGUUUUUUACUCUGCUAUCCUAUUAUCGUAAUAGCGUUUUUUUGUAUGCAAUUAAAUAGUCUUUAAUAGUAUGUUUUCUUUUUAUUAUUAUAUACAUUAAAAUUAUUUAUUUUAGAAUAUUUUUUAGUUAAUUAUUUAAAAUAAAAACAUAAUUAAAAUUUAAAAUUAAUUCAUAGAAUUAAAUUUUCUUUAUUAUUUAAAUUGAUCUAUAAUUAAAGUGGUUUACAAAAAUAUAAAAAAAUAAAUCUAAUUAAACAAUAAACCAACAAACCAAAUAAACCAAAACUAAACCAAGCUUUAACCUAAUUACUACCAAACGCCGCCGCACCAACACCACCUCCGUUGUCUUCUUCAUCCUUCAAUCCUCACCCGCUGCACCACGACCUUCGGCGUCGUGUUCUUCCAUGACCUUCGUCGUCGUAUCCCGCCAUGAUUCUUCUUCUUCUUCGUCGUAGGAUUUGAGAGGCAAGUUGCAGAGAGGAGGCGUACUCAGCGUCCAGACACCUUGGUCUUCGUCGUCAUUGUCUCCUCUCCACGAAGCUUUCUCGUCGUCUCCUGGUCGUCUUCUCCAAGGAACUUGAAAGGCCAGGUGCAGAGACUUUUGUUUCAGUGACUAUUGUACAGAGGCGUCGCCAUCUCUCAACUCCAGGACCCAACCUCCAAUCAAAAUCAAAUCUAAUCGUUUUGUUUCCAUGAGUGAACAGAGACAAAGAUAUUGAACAGUGUGAGACCGUAGAACCCAAAAAAAAAAAGAGAUCUCAGAUCUAUUGGGGUGAAGGUCUCUGAGUCAAAGUUACCGGAGACGGCGGCACGCUUCUCAUCGCUAGGAGAAGAAGAUCGGGUGAGAGAGAGAACGGCGAUCGAAGAGGAGCUGUAACAGUUGGUGUCGGAGAAGGAAUCCACCAUGUUUCCCGGUGAAACUUUUAACAACGACGAGGAGAUGACAGCAGAGAGGCGGUUCCUGAAAGUCCCGACGGUGGAAGCUUCACGGCGGCCGAGCUUGCUGAACGUGUGUUCUGUCGAAGCCCUAGCCGUAAACACGUGGACAAACACGUAUCACAUUCACCGCUUGUUCUUAAAGGACCUUUUAAAUGUAAUUUCUUUUCGUUAGUUUAUCGGACUUCAUAGUCGAUAUCAACUUGUAAUGGCCCAUUUGGGCAUAUCAAUAUAAUAUGGUUGACAAAAAAAAACAGAUCUAUCGAGAGUGAGAAAAGAGAGGGAGUGAUUUUAGACCUUCAGAUCAAAACAAAUCCAUGGUUAAAAAGUGUGAUCCUUGACAAAAAAAAUUAAUUAAUGAGAGAAAAGGUUGAAGAUAGAUAAAAGAACAAAUUUUAA